AUUGAACGCUGGCGGUAGGCUUAACACAUGCAAGUCGAGCGGUAACAGAGGUAGCUUGCUGUCUGCUGACGAGCGGCGGACGGGUGAGUAACGCGUAGGAAUCUACCGAGUAGUGGGGGGACAACCAGUGGAAACGCUGGCUAAUACCGCAUACGCCCUACGGGGGAAAGCAGGGGAUCUUCGGACCUUGCGCUAUUCGACGAGCCUGCGUGAGAUUAGCUUGUUGGUGAGGUAAUGGCUCACCAAGGCGACGAUCUCUAGCUGGUCUGAGAGGAUGAUCAGCCACACUGGGACUGAGACACGGCCCAG
rnacentral:rRNA from 1 species